GGGGAUGUGGCUCGACAAGGAAGGCACCUGCUUUGCAAGCAGUCUCAUGCGGGAGCGUUACCCGCCAUCUCCACCA
rnacentral:tRNA from 1 species